UGGGGAGUGGUGUAAUCGGUAACACGUCGGCCUUUGAAGCCGAAGAUUCUAGGUUCGAGCCCUAGCUCCCCAG
rnacentral:tRNA from 1 species